UAUUGAGCGGCAGAUCUUGCAGCUGAGGGUGGUGACAGCGAAAUCAAUUCUCCGGUUGCGUCGGUUAAGCUUAUGUGGUUAAAUCCGGUGUUUUAGAUCUGCAUUUGUCGGGAUUAACGAAAUCCGGACAAUCUCCGGUGGUUGGGUUAGGUCCGUUGUGGCUGAGCUCCGAGAUGGAUCGUCGCACCAGGGUACUGUAACAUCAAUGGAACCGAAUGAAGGCACUUUCGUUCUUCACACU